AACAUGCCAAAAAACGGGAGAGGUAUGUUAUUUUUAUUAGCUACUUAAGACUUUGAGGUUGAUGCUUUCCUCUUUCUGAAACACACAUCAAAUUAGCAGUUGCAUUAGUUUAAGGCUCCUGUUUCUACUGAACUUAGAAGUGCUACAUCAGUUAUUGCAGAUCAAGAUCAGGAUCAGCAGAAAACAUUGAAAUUUGUACUUUUUCUUAUUCAUGGUAGUUCUAGUUCAUUUUCCUAUUCAUGGUAGCUUAGUUUUAUUUGCAGCAACCAUUUGAAAGCCUUAUAUCAAUUUUCAUAUUCUAUGGUCAUAUAUAUUCUUUCACGGUUAUUGUUAAGAGAUGCUCCCUCCCAAUGUCAUGACAGUCGCAUGGGUCUCUUUACAAGCAAUUUUUUCCUAAUAUGAUGAAUCCCUGUUAGGCACAAUUUAACUGACGAAGAACUUGGUGUUGAUGAGUUGAAUGCAACAUUAGGAAUUGAGGAUGAUGAACAUCUUGGUACUGAAAAUGAAACCCCAAAGCAGAUAUAUAGACCACGAGGACCAACUAUUAUGUUCGAUGUAACUCGCAUUAGAAGUUUGGGAGAGAAGAAGGUGGUUCUGUGAAACUUUACAUUGGUGGCCUGUAUGACGUACUAGUAUUCUACCUUGACUCACUAAGGACAACAUCGAAGUCAACUACAAGAUAUAUAACCAACACAGCAAUAGGGAUGUUUCAGUCACAAAAAAACAUUAAAAAAAGCAUAAAACAAACUUUAUGGUGAAUAAUAAAG